GGCCGUUACUGACGCUGAGGAGCGAAAGCGUGGGGAGCGAACAGGAUUAGAUACCCUGGUAGUCCACGCCGUAAACGGUGGAUGCUGGAUGUGGGGCCCGUUCCACGGGUUCCGUGUCGGAGCUAACGCGUUAAGCAUCCCGCCUGGGGAGUACGGCCGCAAGGCUAAAACUCAAAGAAAUUGACGGGGGCCCGCACAAGCGGCGGAGCAUGCGGAUUAAUUCGAUGCAACGCGAAGAACCUUACCUGGGCUUGACAUGUUCCCGACGAUCCCAGAGAUGGGGUUUCCCUUCGGGGCGGGUUCACAGGUGGUGCAUGGUCGUCGUCAGCUCGUGUCGUGAGAUGUUGGGUUAAGUCCCGCAACGAGCGCAACCCUCGCCCCGUGUUGCCAGCGGAUUGUGCCGGGAACUCACGGGGGACCGCCGGGGUUAACUCGGAGGAAGGUGGGGAUGACGUCAGAUCAUCAUGCCCCUUACGUCCAGGGCUUCACGCAUGCUACAAUGGCCGGUACAACGGGAUGCGACAGUGCGAGCUGGAGCGGAUCCCUGAAAACCGGUCUCAGUUCGGAUCGCAGUCUGCAACUCGACUGCGUGAAGGCGGAGUCGCUAGUAAUCGCGAAUCAGCAACGUCGCGGUGAAUGCGUUCCCGGGCCUUGUACACACCGCCCGUCAAGUCAUGAAAGUGGGCAGCACCCGAAGCCGGUGGCCUAACCCCUUGCGGGAGGGAGCCGUCUAAGGUGAGGCUCGUGAUUGGGACUAAGUCGUAACAAGGUAGCCGUACCGGAAGGUGCGGCUG
rnacentral:rRNA from 1 species